rnacentral:misc_RNA from 1 species
GAUGAAGAACGUAGCGAAAUGCGAUAAGUAAUGUGAAUUGCAGAAUUCAGUGAAUCAUCGAAUCUUUGAACGCACCUUGCGCCCUUUGGCCAUUCCGAAGGGCAUGCCUGUUUGAGUAUCAUGAACACCUCAACUCUUUAUGGUUUUCCAUGAUGAGCUUGGACUUUGGGGGUUUUGCUGGCCUAUGGUCGGCUCCUCUAAAAUAAAUCAGCUUACCGGUGUUUGGUGGGUAUCAUGGGUGUGAUAACUAUCUACGCUUGUGGUUUUUCCACCAGGUAACCUUCGACAGCGGAGGUUCACUGGAGCUCAUAGAUGUCUCUCCUCAGCGAGGACAGCCCUUUGAAUGUUUGAUCUCAAAUCAGGUAGGACUACCCGCUGAACUUAAGCAUAUCAUAAGCGGAGGA